GCGGAGAGCAGAGAGGCGGAAAACCCGGGCUGGAUUUCUGGUGGCUUUUGUUCCCGCAAAUUUACGUGGAGCAUUGUUUUUGGGCGAAAACGGGGCCUUCGGCCUUCCUGCUUUAUUCCUGAGCGGUGUAAGAGGGAGGUAGUGGGUAUCUUCGAGAAACGGCCGCCGCGGGGUCCGGAGCCCCGGGUUCCAAUCCCGGGUCGGCCACUGCUAAGCUGUGUGACCUUGGGAUAUGAUCCAAGGUGCUGAAAACUUCCUAACAAAACUCUUCAGCCGAAUCUGGCACGCCUAUGGUUCCAGCUACUGGGUAGACUGAGGCAGGAGGAUCGCUUGAGGCCAAGAGUUCAAGGCCAACCUGGGCAACAUGGUGAGACCCCCCCCUCCCCCCCAGUCUCUCCAAAACAAACAAACCCCACAUUCUCCAGUCUUAGGUCUUCAAGGAUGAACAGACAUUGCAGAAAGGCACGGUUGGGAACAGAAAAAAAUGAUCUCCACUCCCCCAGCCCCCUCCACACCUUGGGCACAUUUCCCUGGAGCCGCCCGAGUGUUCUUUGUCAGUGUAGGAAGAAGCAAAAAUCUAAAUGGAGUCAGGAUGGCCUCCCACAUGGGCACAAGGACAAGGCUGGGGACAGUUGGGUCUCCUCAUCUUAUUUCCCAGGUCUAGGCUGAUUUCUAUUAAUAAUUAAAUUAAUCGUUGUUCUCCUGGACCUCACUUCUUAAUGUGAUUCCAGGAAACUGGCCACAUUCCAAAAUUCAUAAUCUAAGGUAGUGAAAUAACGUGAGCAUCAAGACAGUUUGGCUGGGCUCAGAGGCUCACAUCUGUAAUCCCAGUACUUUGGGAGGCCGAGGGUAGAUCCCUUGAGCCCAGGAGUUCGAGACCAGCCUGGGCAACAUGGCGAAAUCCCAUCUCUACAAAAAAUACAAAAAUUAGCCAGAUGUGGUGGCAUGUGCCUGUAGUCCCAGUUACUUGGGAGACUGCGGUGGAAGGAUUGCCUGAGCCCAGGAAAGGGAGGUUGCGGUGAAUGGGGAUCCCACCACUGCACUCCAGCCUGGGUGACAGCGUAAGACUCUGUCUCAAAAACAAAAGAUUCAUUUCUUAUUGAUAAAGCAAGCUCCUUGGAGAAAGAUCUUGGAACCUCAUUGGGAGUGGAGGUGGGGCUUCUUCAAUCCAGCCGAGCUGGCUGUGAAACCCCCAGGGUUUGGUACCAAGUGAGCUCCAGUCCCAGCUGUGGCUGACUGUGUGAACUUGGCUAUGCAUUCAAGGGCCUCUGAGCCUCAGUUUCCUCAUCUGUAGAAGAGAGCCAGGAACCCGUCAUCCUGGCUAGCAGUGGAAGUCAAAGGUGCUCAUGGAAAGAAUGUCCUUGCUGGCUGGAACAAGGGAGGCCUGAGCUGUGGAAGUCCUUGGAUCAAGGUCCUCCCCACUUCCCGCUGCCUUUUUGGUCCUUCUUGCGUGCUCUUUGUGAUUUAAUGGCUUAGUAGGUUGAAUCAUGUCCCCCCAAAGUUUAUCUCUACCCCAAAUCUCAGAAUGUGACCUUAUUUGGAAAAAGAGUCUUUGCAGAUAAUUAAGGUAAGAGUCAAGAUAAAAUCACACUGAAUUAUGGUGAGCCCUACAUGCAAUGAGACAGUCCUUACAAGAUACAGAAAAGAACACAUAGAGACUUCGGGGGAAAGGAGACUAUGUGCAAGGAUGGCAGAGAUUGGAGCCGAGGGGUGCCUGGGCCUACCAGAGGCUGCAAGAGACAGGGAGGACCCUCCCCUAGAGCCUCCAGGGGGAACAGCCCUGCCCACACCUUGACUUUGGACUCCUGGCCUCCAGAACUGUGAGAGGACCUAGGACCCUACGAGAGGAGGGAUCUGGAGGCCAGGACAGGAGCAGGACAACACAAACAGAGGCCUCAGAAGAAGACUCAGAGUGGGACAGGGGUUCCUUAAGUGACGGGGGCUGGAAGUGCACAGAGAAGCCUGGUGCAGCAGGGAAUUUUCUCUCCCUGGGGUGCUGCCAAGGUGUCUGUUGCUUGCCAGCUUUUCCAGCCAUGACUGCAGACAAAGUCCACCUAGAGUCAUA
rnacentral:lncRNA from 1 species